AGAGAGAGACAUGCGCGCAUAUCAAUAAGCGGAGGAAAAGAAACUAACAAGGAUUCCCCUAGUAACGGCGAGUGAAGCGGGAAGAGCUCAAAUUUGAAAUCUUAAAGGGUUUCCCUUUACGAAUUGUAGUUUAAAGAAGUGUUUUCUGUUGAGGUUUUGGUAAAAGUUCUUUGGAAUAGGACAUCAUAGAGGGUGAGAAUCCCGUAUUUGACCUUUACUUUCAACUUUGUGAUACACUUUCAAAGAGUCGGAUUGUUUGGGAAUGCAGUCCAAAAUGGGUGGUAAAUUUCAUCUAAAGCUAAAUAUUGGCGAGAGACCGAUAGCGAACAAGUACCGUGAGGGAAAGAUGAAAAGAACUUUGAAAAGAGAGUUAAACAGUACGUGAAAUUGUCAAAAGGGAAGCGUUUGACACCAGUGUUGUUUUUCUGAAAAUCAAUUAAAGAACUGUUUAUGCUAAGCUGUUUAGACUUUAUCAGCUAACUGUUUAGUUUUGAGCCUUUCUUCAAUGCACUUUUCAGUUAACAAGUCAACAUCAAUUUCUUUUGCUGUAAAAAAGCUUGAGGAAGGUGGCUUGAGAUUCGUCUUAAGUGUUUAUAGCCUCCUGCCUAUGCAGUCGGAGAGAUUGAGGUCUGCAGCGUAGAUCCUUCGGGGCUAAAUGCAUUUGUGCUAAGUUAUAGCAUUUUAUAGACAACUUGUUGACUAUGAUUUGUCUUGUAGCUUACUCGCUUAUGUUAUUUUACCUACGCUUAGGAUGUUGAGCGCAUGUCUCUCUCU
rnacentral:rRNA from 1 species